rnacentral:lncRNA from 1 species
UAAAAUAGUUUAGCCAAUUUUUCAUAUAAUUUCAGUUUUGCAAACCAGACAAGCCCUGUACAAAAUCCUAACAAAUAUAGCCCUCUAAAGUCGUUGCAAAAUUCGUUUGAAUCAACUAAAGAUGACGUUAAUAAACCUUGUGAUAAGAAGAAAUGCCAGAGAUGUUUUGUUAGGCAACGCGCUAGGAGAUGUUAAAGGCCGGAUAACCUGAACAUGGUUGUGACGCGUCUUUGUGUUCCCAAUAUAUGCGUGAAUCUUGUCUUGAAGCAUCCUGGCGCUGCUGCGUACAUAACAAACCCCGUUUUACACAAGCGUUUAGGUAAAGCCCGUCAGAAACGACUAAGCAAAGCUUAUCCGCAUUGUUUUGCGCGUGACUAGGCACCAAACCUCGCACCUUUUCCAAAUCUUCUCGGGCACUUUUAACAAACUAGUGUCACGGACGCCGCCUGCACCUGCAAGACUGCAAGUAGCAACGGACUGGACCUUCCCCCCGCUAGAGCUUAGCUGCGACGUGCGAUGCUGUUUACAAAGACCAUUCCAAACUCGUUAACAACUCACGGGUAAGCGAUCGGGUUCCUCACCUUCACCCUUUUCCCGUGGAAAACCUCGCUCACAUGGCGCCUUGAC